rnacentral:rRNA from 1 species
CUACGGGUCGCUGCAGUGGGGAAUAUUGCACAAUGGAGGAAACUCUGAUGCAGCAACGCCGCGUGGAGGAUGACACUUUUCGGAGCGUAAACUCCUUUUAUAUAGGAAGAAGAUGACGGUACUAUAUGAAUAAGCGCCGGCUAACUCCGUGCCAGCAGCCGCGGUAAUAGGGAGGGCGCAAGCGUUACUCGGAAUCACUGGGCGUAAAGAGCGUGUAGGCGGAUUAAAAAGUCAGAAGUGAAAUCCUAUAGCUUAACUAUAGAACUGCUUCUGAAACUCUUAAUCUAGAAUAUGGGAGAGGUAGAUGGAAUUUCUGGUGUGGGGGUAAAAUCCGUAGAGAUCAGAAGGAAUACCGAUUGCGAAGGCGAUCUACUAGAACAUUAUUGACGCUGAGACGCGAAAGCGUGGGGAGCAAACAGGAUUAGAUCCCUGGUAGUC